CAGCACUCAUUAGGUGAAUAAACAAUAUUCACUAUACCUAUAGAGUGGAAUACCACCCAGCAUCCUCUCACAUACAAAGAAAGAACAAAUUGCUGAUAUACACAAAAGUCCAUCAAUCUCAAAAAUCGUCAUGGAGGCCUACAUGCUUACCACCGGUGCUACCGUCAUGUCUCCAGUGAUCCCUGAGAUGUUCCAGCAUAUUUUGCGAGUACUCAACACCAACAACAAUGCGGGGGCGGGGCAUGGAAAACAGUCUCUGCCAUCACUGUCUUUAAGGAUGUAGGUCAAAGGAGUGAAGCCUAGAGCUGUAUUUCUUUGACACAACUGCCAACAGCAUUUUGGGUUAGAUUUCCAAAUUAAGAAGCAUGUAAUACUUGGAAGGCAGAAGAGAAGGAAAUAUCAUCAGCCUCCAUAGAGAACAGAAUGAUUUUGAUCAGCGUGUAGACAUUUUCAAGCCUAUCAUCUAUUUGAUGCUACUACUAGCCAAUGAGAUCACGAGAUUAUUUUCUGGUAUUUCUGCAGCAUCCUGAUAUUUAGAAGUCAGUACAAUGUUCUCCUCCUUUGGCUUCCCCAUUCUUCAGUGGAUUCUGUAAGCCUUGAAUUCCCUAUUAAUUACUAUUUCUGCCUCCUGUGCAUAGGAAAAUAUCUGUGUUCUUAUCUGAACCUCAAGAACAAUGCAUGUAUGAAUUCCCAAAUAUAUUUGUUGUUGUUGUUGUUGUUGUUGUUGUUAUGAGCUUCAGAAAAGGAUAUUAAAUUCAAAAUUGUCCUAUGUGACUUGCUUUUUCACCAACACUAUAUGCCUAUUAUUUGUGUAUGGUAAUUUACAUAGAUGUGGACAUUAUUAUUUAGUGUUGCAAAAUAUCCCAUUUUAUGACUACAACACAAUUUUUUAAAUAAUAUUCUCUGCCCUUGGCUUACCCAUCUUUCAAGGGAUUCUGUAAACCUUUAAUUCCCUAUUAUUUAAUUGCGCUGAUAAACAUUUGGUUUGCUGUUAUUUUUAUUUUCCUUUUUUUCUUGUUUUGUUUUCUCUUUGGCAUUUUGCUACAAUAAGCAAGAUGGCCAGGUGCAUUCUUUAGAAAGUCUUUUUAAUGUACAUUUACAAGCGUUUUCCUACCUUAUUGACAAAGUACUUUUACUUGGCAGGACUUCCGUCGAGUUCCUGAACCUUCUCCUAGGCCUUUCUGUGCACUUUCUUAUAAAUCCAGUUUUAGCAAAGAACCCAGCUCAGUCAGUUUAGCACGAAUCUACCACACUCCAUAUCUGAUGACUUUCAAUAUCCAAUCCAAUUCUUCAUCCGCCACUGCUUCAUAGGUGAUACUGGCUCACACUGGCAUAUAUUCGGAAAGAAUCUGUUAAGUCUGUUCAUCUAGAAUGCCCCUUACCUUUGCAUCCAGUGACCUCCAUCCUACUCUUUGGGUAUGAAUUUCUACUUGCUCAUGCUAUAUUUGAAGUUCAGCCCAAUCUCUAUCCCCCACUGCAAGAACCCAUUGCAGUGGUCCCUAUGUUUAUUGCAAUAGCUUUGAAUGAAAUGCUUUAAUACAUACCAUUGAAUAAUCUUUUAUUUAAUAGUGCAUUCAUUAAAUAUACAAUUACUUAGGAGUAUCUGCAUUUUCUACUUUAAGCAAUGGAGCUAAAUUUUUUUUAGAAUUGAUUAUACUAAUUCCAAUUGCAAGCAUAUUAAAAAUAGCAAUUUCUCAUGUAUUUGCCUAGUUGUGGCAUUGUGUAGAUUUAGUGAUGUGCCAAUUUAAUAGACUUAAAUUGGUAUCUUAUUAUAGUUUUGGUGUGUAACCUCCUGACUAUAAAUAAGAUUAAAUAAUUUGCCUGUUUUAAUUUCUUACUUAUUUUAUAUUUUGUGAAAUACUUGUUAAAAUGACUGUCAAAUUUUCCAGUUAUGUUUUCAUCACUUUUUGCAGUUUAUUAAAUUCUCUAGAUACAAUACCAUUGAAAUACAUAUAUU